CCCAUUUCCUCUGAUUCCAUCCCACAAUAAUUGAACAGCUUUUGUGCAAAGAAAGGAACAAGUGGGUCUCCUUCCUUCUUAUCUCCAUCGUGCCUGGGCUCAGCUCUGAAAGAAGAAAGUUCUUUUCCAGGUGAAUCUACAUGAUAGAGUGGAAGCCACAAAGGAAGAAGAAGAAGAGAUUCUAUCUGGGUAUGGAGAAUGAAAAAAAAAAAAGGUGUAAAGAGGGUGAGUGUACAGUCAUCUGGAAGCCAUGUCACAGAGAGGAGGGGAGAGAUUAAAAGGGAUCUGAAUAAGAGCAGGAUGGUGGGGCUUGAAAGGAUGGGAUGAACAUGAGAGACGUGAUGACACUGGUCAACAGAGAUCUCUCUAGGGAUGUCAACCAGAAAGGGAUGUAAUGUAGGAAAUUAGGUGUUUUUACACUUCUUUAGGAGGGCAAGAGAAACGGGCUCUGGGCUGAACUCCAGGAAUGAACAACAUUGCAGAAUGGCCCUCCUGGGAAUUGCACCCCUGACUCAACAGUAGUAGGGUAUCAGGAGACCACUUUUAGCACAAUAGAUUUCUGAAAGAACCCACCCUAGCUGAGGCAGGUACUGCGGUCACUGCAAGUACUAGCUGGAGAGCUAUGCUAGGCUGCUCCAUGUGCAACAGCAAAAUGUGUAGAGCCCAGCCCCUGCCUUGCAGCCCCCAUUGCAGCAGUGACUGGACACAGGAGCACCAUUGUGCUUGACAGCAGAAACCAGCAGAGAAAGAUCUCUUCCGCUUCAUCCUGCCCUUCAGAUUCCACACGAGUGCUUCUUAUGGGGGAUCUUAAUUCCAUUAAGAACCC
rnacentral:lncRNA from 1 species